rnacentral:rRNA from 1 species
UGGGGGAUAUUGCACAAUGGGCGAAAGCCUGAUGCAGCGACGCCGCGUGGGGGAUGAAGGCUUUCGGGUUGUAAACCUCUUUCGCUAUCGAACAAGGCCCGCUUAGGGUGGGUUGAGGGUAGGUGGAGAAGAAGCGCCGGCUAACUACGUGCCAGCAGCCGCGGUAAUACGUAGGGCGCGAGCGUUGUCCGGGAUUAUUGGGCGUAAAGGGCUUGUAGGCGGCUUGUUGCGCCUGCUGUGAAAACGCGGGGCUUAACUUCGCGCGUGCAGUGGGUACGGGCAGGCUUGAGUGUUGUUGGGGUGACUGGAAUUCCAGGUGUAGCGGUGGAAUGCGCAGAUAUCUGGAGGAACACCGAUGGCGAAGGCAGGUCACUGGGCCAUUACUGACGCUGAGGAGCGAAAGCAUGGGUAGCGAACAGG